GACAGAGUUAGGGAGGGAAGGGGUGACUAGUGACAGAGUGAGGGGUGACUAGGGACAGAGUGAGGGAGGUGGUGACUAGUGACUAGUGACAGUCACCACCUCCCUCACUCUGUCACUAGUCACCACCUCCCUCACUGUGUCACCCACUCCCUCCCUCACUCUGUCACUAGUCACCCCUUCCUUCCCUCUGUCACUAGUCACCCCUUCCCUCACUCUGUC